CGAAGGGGCUAGCGUUGCUCGGAAUCACUGGGCGUAAAGGGCGCGUAGGCGGCUCUGUUAGUCAGGCGUGAAAUUCCUGGGCUCAACCUGGGGACUGCGCUUGAUACGGCGGGGCUUGAGGAUGGAAGAGGGUCGUGGAAUUCCCAGUGUAGAGGUGAAAUUCGUAGAUAUUGGGAAGAACACCGGUGGCGAAGGCGGCGACCUGGUCCAUUACUGACGCUGAGGCGCGACAGCGUGGGGAGCAAACAGGAUU
rnacentral:rRNA from 1 species